rnacentral:rRNA from 1 species
UACGUAGGGGGCAAGCGUUGUCCGGAAUCAUUGGGCGUAAAGAGCGUGUAGGCGGCUUGGUAAGUCCGCUGUUAAAGUCCAGGGCUCAACCCUGGAAAGCCGGUGGAAACUGUCAAGCUUGAGUCCGGAAGAGGCGAGUGGAAUUCCUGGUGUAGCGGUGAAAUGCGCAGAUAUCAGGAGGAACACCAAUGGCGAAGGCAGCUCGCUGGGACGGUACUGACGCUGAGACGCGAAAGCGUGGGGAGCAAACAGG